GGUGGUUCAGUGGUAGAAUUCUCGCCU
rnacentral:piRNA from 9 species